rnacentral:rRNA from 1 species
UUUUCUCGGUUUGGAUCCUGCCGGAGGCCAUUGCUAUCGGAGUCCUGAUUUAGCCAUGCUAGUUGCACGAGUUCACACUCGUAGCAUAUAGCUCAGUAACACGUGGUCAAGCUACCCUGCAGACACGGACAACCUCGGGAAACUGAGGCUAAUCCGCGAUACCGAUCCCACGCUGGAAUGCCGGGAUCCACAAACGCUCCGGCGCUGCAGGAUGCGGCUGCGGCCGAUUAGGUAGACGGUGGGGUAACGGCCCACCGUGCCGAUAAUCGGUACGGGUUGUGAGAGCAAGAGCCCGGAGACGGAAUCUGAGACAAGAUUCCGGGCCCUACGGGGCGCAGCAGGCGCGAAACCUUUACACUGCACGCAAGUGCGAUAAGGGGACUCCGAGUGCGAGGGCAUAUAGUCCUCGCUUUUGAGAACCGUAAGGCGGUUCUCGAAUAAGAGCUGGGCAAGACCGGAAACAAAAAGCCGCGGUAAUACCGGCAGCUCAAGUGAUGGCCAAUCUUAUUGGGCCUAAAGCGUCCGUAGCUGGCCACGAAAGUCCGUCGGGAAAUCCAUCUGCCCAACAGAUGGGCGUCCGGCGGAAACUUCGUGGCUUGGGACCGGAAGGCUCGAGGGGUACGUCCGGGGUAGGAGUGAAAUCCCGUAAUCCUGGACGGACCGCCGAUGGCGAAAGCACCUCGAGAAGACGGAUCCGACAGUGAGGGACGAAAGCUAGGGUCUCGAACCGGAUUAGAUACCCGGGUAGUCCUAGCCGUAAACAAUGUUC